ensembl:snoRNA SNORD36 Small nucleolar RNA SNORD36
GUGCAAUGAUGUGCAUAGAAUUUCUUCACCUGAAUGACCGUGUGGCACUCAGAGCUUUUUAACCCUGAGCGGC